AGCUUUCCUACAGUUUUUUGGGGAUGAAUUUCUGCGUUUACUCCUUACAAGAUUCAUAUUUUGUUCAGCAACUCUUAGAAUGCAUAAAAGUUUCAAGGAAACUAGGAACUACCCAGAAACCUAUCCUCCUCUUCCCCGGGAUGAACUAGUGGAGAACCUUCAUCUGCAAAAACAGAUUUUGGAGUUGGCUUCCAUAUUAGAUGUGAGGAACCUAUUUCUUGAGACAACCAUGGAUGAAUAUUAAA